ACCUGGCUGGCUCGGUUGGUAGAGCGAGCGACUUUUGAUCUCCGGGUUGUGAGUUUGAGCCCCACGUUGGGUG
rnacentral:tRNA from 1 species